GGAGUUAGCCGGUGCUUCUUCUGCGAGUAACGUCACAGAUGUAAGGUAUUAACUUACACCCUUUCCUCCUCGCUGAAAGUGCUUUACAACCCGAAGGCCUUCUUCACACACGCGGCAUGGCUGCAUCAGGGUUUCCCCCAUUGUGCAAUAUUCCCCACUGCUGCCUCCCGUAGGAGUCUGGGCCGUGUCUCAGUCCCAGUGUGGCUGAUCAUCCUCUCAGACCAGCUAGGGAUCGUCGCCUAGGUGAGCCUUUACCUCACCUACUAGCUAAUCCCACCUGGGCUUAUCCAUCAGCGCAAGGCCCGAAGGUCCCCUGCUUUCCCCCGUAGGGCGUAUGCGGUAUUAGCAGUCGUUUCCAACUGUUAUCCCCCACAAAUGGGCAAAUUCCCAGGCAUUACUCACCCGUCCGCCGCUCGUCAUCUUCAAAAGCAAGCUUUUGAAAUGUUACCGCUCGACUUGCAUGUGUUAGGCCUGCCGCCAGCGUUCAAUCUGAGCCAUGAUACAAACUCUGA
rnacentral:rRNA from 1 species